rnacentral:rRNA from 1 species
UCCGUAGGUGGACCUGCGGAGGGAUCAUUG